UCAAACUUGGUCAUUUAGAGGAAGUAAAAGUCGUAACAAGGUCUCCGUUGGUGAACCAGCGGAGGGAUCAUUAUAGAGUUUAUACAACUCCCAACCCAUGUGAAUCUUACCUUCAGUUGCUUCGGCAGCGCGACCUACCCUGCAGUUACCCUGUAGUGCCUACCCGGCACGAAGGGGUAGCAAGUACUGGGUUGUGUCUGCCGGUGGCCCCUAAAACUCUGUUUUAUUUUGGAACUCUGAAUACGAAACUUAAUAAGUUAAAACUUUCAACAACGGAUCUCUUGGUUCUGGCAUCGAUGAAGAACGCAGC
rnacentral:misc_RNA from 1 species